AAGUCCAAAGCAACAGGUCUGUGAAGAGAGAGAGAGAGAGAGAGAGAGCGCUCUAUCAAGCUGUGACUGCCCGGUUUUCUCUGAAGAUCUGAGAGGAAAAGAUACUGAGACCAUUUUGGAGCAUUUUGGAGCGACUCAACUUGGGAAAAGAAUGAGAGAAGGAAGCCUGACAUCCUACGUGAAGAGCAUUCUAUAAGAGCAUAAGAAUUUGCCAGGC